UACAGAGGUCCCAAGCGUUGUUCGGAUUUACUGGGCGUAAAGGGCGCGUAGGCGGCGUGUUAAGUCAGCUGUGAAAUCUCCGAGCUUAACUCGGAACGGUCAGCUGAUACUGAUGUGCUAGAGUGCAGAAGGGGCAAUCGGAAUUCUUGGUGUAGCGGUGAAAUGCGUAGAUAUCAAGAGGAACACCUGAGGUGAAGACGGGUUGCUGGGCUGACACUGACGCUGAUGCGCGAAAGCCAGGGGAGCAAACGGG
rnacentral:rRNA from 1 species